GGCCAGCAGCCGCGGUAAUACAUAGGGGGCAAGCGUUAUCCGGAAUUAUUGGGCGUAAAGAGUGCGUAGGCGGUUUAUUAAGUCUGGUGUGAAAUCCCACAGCUUAACUGUGGAGGGUCAUUGGAAACUGGUAAACUUGAGUACGGUAGAGGUAAGUGGAAUUCCAAGUGGAGCGGUGGAAUGCGUAGAUAUUUGGAGGAACACCAGUGGCGAAGGCGGCUUACUGGGCCGUUACUGACGCUGAGGCACGAAAGCGUGGGGAGCAAACAGGAUUAGAUACCCUGGUAGUCCACGCUGUAAACGUUGAGCACUAAGUGUCGGAUUUAAAUUCGGCGCUGCAGUUAACACAUUAAGUGCUCCGCCUGGGGAGUACGGUCGCAAGACUGAAACUCAAAGGAAUUGACGGGGGCCCGCACAAGC
rnacentral:rRNA from 1 species